rnacentral:rRNA from 1 species
CUUACCUGGCCUUGACAUGGUAGGAACCCUUAAGAGAUUAGGGGUGCUAGCUUGCUAGAACCUACACACAGGUGCUGCACGGCUGUCGUCAGCUCGUGUCGUGAGAUGUUCGGGUUAAGUCCCGCAACGAGCGCAACCCUCGUCCUUAGUUGCUAACAGUUCGGCUGAGCACUCUAGGGAGACUGCCGGUGACAAACCGGAGGAAGGUGGGGAUGACGUCAAGUCCUCAUGGCCCUUAUGGGUAGGGCUUCACACGUCAUACAAUGGUCGGUACAGAGGGUUGCCAACCCGCGAGGGGGAGCUAAUCCCACAAAGCCGAUCGUAGUCCGGAUCGCAGUCUGCAACUCGACUGCGUGAAGUCGGAAUCGCUAGUAAUCGUGGAUCAGCAUGUCACGGUGAAUACGUUCCCGGGUCUU